rnacentral:lncRNA from 1 species
CUGACGGUUGCGUGAAGGCAGGUCCCAAGUUCUUCUCUCGCCUAGAUACUUCCAGUUAUUCGUAAGUUUUUCAGAAGUAUAGUCAUGGUCACUACUUACUACCAGUCAAGCCAGCUGAAUUUAGUACGAGAUUAUACAUGUGGGAUCAUGCUACGUGCCUUAUUUCACUUAGACUGGUGAUCAGAUUGGAACAAGGAGGUUGAAAUUAUUCAAGAGGAAUGUUUGGUUACUUUUGGCCAGUUUCCUGGAUAUUUUUAUUAUGUGUUUCAUUGCGACAAAAGUUUAUUGGACGUUUCCGUGAAUUAGCUGUUUUGUGAAUUUUCUGUAGAACAUAAUAAGACAUUUAUUGAAGACUGAUAGUUUUCAUUGUUGUUUAUGAGCAGGAAUAAAUGGAGUCCACAAUUACUUGUCAGACAUUGACUGGGACGUUCAUUUUUCAUGGUUCUUGUGAUCUAGCUGGCCGGCCGGCCCGGCAGGAUUAACGCGCUGGCAGCUGAAAGGAACUUGUACCAGCACCCCGCGUUGCCUAGUCAACACGUUGUACCAUCAGAAGAGUGGUUUUCAGUGGUUCUGCUUCUGCCAACAGCGGCUGAAUGAAGCCUAUCCUAAUCUUAGGCUAUGGAGUCUGUUUAGCUCAGUUGUGGAUAUUGGUGUAUGUUAAAGCUACCUGAAUUUUAGUCGUCUUCGAUGCAAAUUUGGGUACACGUUUUUACCAAAAUGUAGCUACAGAUAUAGUAUGUGUUCGAUUUUUUUCAUUCUAGCUUUGGUUGGUUGUGGUUCCUCGUCAUCCUACAUUUGUUGCUCAUCUCUAUUUUUCGUCAAACCUCGGGUUGAUCGUA